rnacentral:lncRNA from 1 species
GACAUCAUGACGCUGCCACAAAUUAAUGUUCAUGUCCAUUCUAGUAUUCUAUGAAGAGUGUCUUCUUUCAACUAAAAUAACACAAGGCCCUGAAGAUUAAUGUUUUACAACGUUUGACAUGUUUGAACGAACCUACAUGCGGGAGAAUCGCAUUUUAUCCGGAACUUCAGCCCUGCGCUUGGAGAGAGCCAUAGGACGCGCUACCAACAUCAGGCUAAUGGAACGUGAAGUAUGGACUUUUUGACCGAAAAUACAUCUGUUGUGGACCUGGGAUGCUUUUUGAUGAAGACAACUAAAGGCAGACGCCAAUACCAGUAUGGCAGAAUUCAUCAAGCAGACGGUGUUGGACGAAGCCCCAGUAAAAGGGGAUAAAAAGGUUGAGGUCCAUGUGAUUAAAAUAAGAAACCAACAUCACACAAUUCCUGAAAAAAACACCUGGAGGACCUAAACCAAAGGCUUUCUGGUAGUUUCCGAAACAUGCCACACACAAAAGAAAUGAAAAAGGGAACCUGAAUGUGGUUAAUUGCUUGUGGGGAAAUCCCAUGCACUCAAAACAGUUACACAACAACCAAAUAAGUUAUGAUCAGAUGGCUUUUCAUAAAGUAAAGAAAUAAAAGUAUGUGAGAAUAGGGUUUGCCUACAAAAUAAGGGCCGCCCAUAUGUGUUGGUAUUGUAGUUUAGCAUCCUGAUGGUGAAGGGAAAUUGUAACGCUACAGCUGUCACGCUCUGACCUAGGAGAGCUGUGUUUUCUCUGUUUAGCUAGGCCAGGGUGUGAUAGGUGGGUGGACAUUCUGUGUUUUGUUUUCUAUGUUUUGGCCGGGUAUGGUUUCCAAUCAGAGGCAGGUGUCUAUCGUUGUCUCUGAUUGGAAGCCAUACUUAGGCAGCCUGUUUUUCCUUUGGUUUUUGUGGGUAGCUGCUUUCUGAUUUGUUGUAAGUACCUGAC